rnacentral:rRNA from 1 species
UACGUAGGGUGCGAGCGUUAAUCGGAAUUACUGGGCGUAAAGCGUGCGCAGGCGGCUUUGCAAGACAGAUGUGAAAUCCCCGGGCUUAACCUGGGAACUGCAUUUGUGACUGCAUGGCUGGAGUGCGGCAGAGGGGGAUGGAAUUCCGCGUGUAGCAGUGAAAUGCGUAGAUAUCUGGAGGAACACCGGUGGCGAAGGCGGCAUCCUGGACCAUUACUGACGCUGAUGAGCGAAAGCCAGGGGAGCAAACGGG